AUACAGAGACUUUUUUUUUUAAGACAUUCAAUUCAGUUGUCUAAGACAGUUGUAAGUUGUAUUAAAACAAGGUUUUUACUUAAUAUACAUAAUAUAUUAAGUAUAAAUUUAAGACAAUUAAGUUAUAUUAAGACAAUGUCUUAAUCAUAAUAUAUAUUUUAUUUAUUUGAAUGGAAAGUUUUUUAGUUUGUUGUGAAACUAGACUAGAAAUUAUCUAAUAAGCUUCUUAUAACUUGUGUAAUGUGUUUCUUUUACGAAUUUGUAUAUUGGUAUAAUCAUAUCAUGCUAUUCCUACAAUAUUAUAUCUAACACUGGCUCUCAUAAGUUUGAUUCUCAAGUCACGAAAAAGGGCCAACUUUCACGUGUUAGCGGAAAGUUACCAAAAUAUGUUAUGGACUUAAUUCAGAGAUAAUGUUGCUAAACGAUUUACAGUCGAUAAUCUUUUGAAAGCAGAAAAACUCAGUGUCAAACAAAGAAUACGCGAAUUAUUUGAGAUAUGAUUGAAAUUUGCAAAGAAAGUAAAAAUCAAACUAGUUUCAUUCUAAGUUAUUGUAUAUAAUUUUAAAAUUUUGGAAUAGAAGUGAUGCAAUGUUUAUUUA
rnacentral:lncRNA from 1 species